UUUGUUGAAUUGAAUUUUUGAAAGAACUUGUAAUUUAACAUGAAACGUCUUUUGAAUGUGUAUGACUAUGUCAUGUCUUGUCAUGCCUGCUCAGAAACUAUUUACGGUAAUUAUUUUUUUUAUCCGUAAACAAAAAAAUAGUAAUAAUCACUAGACACAAAUAUGAAUUUUAUAAAUCAAAUUUAAAAUUUAGAAAUUAAAUUCUGAUGAUAAAUCUAAC
rnacentral:lncRNA from 1 species